ACGGAAACAUCAAAAGAAGCACUGUAGCAUCUCAAAUCUUUCACUUUCUGUUUGUUUGGGACUAACGUUUUUAUUCUAAACCUCGAACAUGUGUUUUGUUUCGGGACUGAAGAGCUACCGCUGCCACAACUUUCUUUUCUUUUGUCCAUUCAUUUGUCUUGCAGUCUUGUCUAAUCGGAUUCAUCUGAUCUGAGUAGCUGUGUGCCAAAACAUCAUCAUCAUCAUCAUCAUGCCAGAAGACAAACACUGUAAGCUGGUUCUGCAGAAGAAGAAGAAGAAAAAGAAGAAAGGAAAGAAAAACACUGCUCUUCCAGAAUGUUCAGAGACACAACUGGCUGCGGCUUUGCCUCCUGAGACCUCACCAAUAUCCCUGCUGCCCCCUCAGAAUCUGCUGCUUCCCAAACUCCGAGGUACAUGUAAGAAGGAAUGCCUCACUGGCAGUGGCCGGAACAGCAAAAAACCCCACAAGGAAUCAUCGUCGCUGCUGACGACGACCCAAAAAACCAGUGGUGCUCAAGCUCAGGGGUGUGAGACGGAGCUGUGCGUCCAGGCCAAGGAGAGCCUGAGAUGGGAGGGAGUGCUGCAGGACCCCCAGGCCGAGGCUAAGAGGCAGGAGGAAUACAGAUCCAGGAGGAGGCAGCGUUACAUCGCACACAGAGAGGCUCUGUUAAAAGAAGCACAGGACGCCUUGAGACAGACUAUUCUUAGAGAGCAAAGUGAAAAAGGCUUUGUCUGAAUCUGACCGACAGUGACUGUCAUCACUGAACACACACUGAAGCAAGUUACACUAAUCUCAAGCUGAUUUUUUUUAACAGCCUGAAAUGCAUUGACCACAAAAUAAGCUCCUCAAAACAGAAACAUUCGUCAUCUUCGUCAGGUACAGAGUGUGGCCGCUGUCACCUUCUGCUGAAUGAGCCUGUUAAAAACUUAAUGGAGGAUUUGCACAGUUUAACCUGUGCUCCUAAAUUAUGUAGCACUUCCAGAAAAGACCCAAAGUUGCCCUUUCAGAAGUGAAACAUAAUCAGGGCUUCAUUUCAACUGUCAGCGAGCUGAAGGGUUAAAUGAGAUGAGAGGGGUCACAUUACGUUUUGUUUUGGGACAACAGUGUCAAAAUAAAGUAGUUCCCAGAAAUACA
rnacentral:lncRNA from 1 species